AUAAUUGAUCUCAAAAUGUUUUAAAUAUUAAAUUAUUUAUUAAUCGUAAUCAAUGUGGUCUAAUUUCUGGUCAUUAACUCAUUAAGGCUUCAAUAGCUAAAAGGCAUUGCGACUAAUCCUCAUGGACUGCUUUGACCUCUCUGUUAUUUCAGGUGCAAGUUGUGUGUAACGCAGUGUCUGGCCUCAUACCGAAGUGUUUACAUUUGUCCAACCCUGUGACACUCUUCCAUAAGCCUGCAGGACACAGCACAUUUCGGCAGCCGUCAUUGUGCAGAAAAAAAAUCCAGGUCAAAUAUGCAGGACAUCAACUCGCAGCCCAACACCUCUGGCUUUUGGGAUAUGAGUGUGGCUCCAAAGUCUGGCAAAGCAAAGAAGCAUAGAUACUUUCCAAAUGACGAGAGAAACUCCUGCCAUGGAAUAAAUGGCUUUCGUUAUUCCAACUGACAGACUUACUUAUUUCCCAGAACACUCGCCUCCAGCAGGACCUAAGAUCCUUUGUUCAGGAACAAUGUAAGUUUUCUUUUUUGAAAAAAAAAGAAACACUUUGAAACUAUAGCAUUUUUUAUGUGGUCUUUUUCUCUCUAUCCUCUGACUUUUGUCUGUGUACAUUAUGACUAAUACACAUCAACAAAAAACUGGGCAAGCUUUAAUUUUUCAACUUCGAUGAGGUCUCUGUCAAUGGCAUCUACUUAGCUUAUACUCUGAGAGUCAUCUUUCUCUGACGCACUUUCGGACUUACUUCAACCAGUUUGCAGGAGGUUUUACGUUGUUUUAUAAUGCUCCCUGCUUGCUAAAUCCUCAUCUCAGCAGAAAAUGGUGGUUUGCUGUGUUAUGCACUGACAUCCUCUGGCAGUGCUUUAUGAACCACCAAGGAACGUGCUCUGGGCUUGAAACCAGCUGCCCCUGCCAGGGCCAUACACCGAGUCUUCGGUUUGUGCCACGUUGAUGUUUCCAAAAACCUCAACUUAAAUGUCUCUGACACAGCUACAAGAGCAAAAUUUGACUUACGUUUUUUUCCUUAAUAACUUUUUCCCAUGUACUUACAAGCAUGUUCUUAACCCUUUUACUCUUGGUGAGGCACAACGAGGGAAAAUCACACAAUCAGAUUAAUAAAGGAACAAUGUAAGCUCAGUUAUACAUGAAGUCUAAAUCAGGGCAAUGUCUACUUUCUGAUUAAAUUUGUCAAAGGUCAUCUUUUCAUCACCAUUUGUCAGAAAAUCCCAACAAAGUGAACACUUUAAGGGAUAUCGCACUCUAAUCUCAAAUAUUGCUUUGGGGCUCCAGUCAAGGCAUUUUUUAAUUACUGGUUUACAGGGGCGGACUGGAAAAUGAGGUCUAUCGAGGAUUUCCCUUCUGGGUUGGUGGUUUAGCUCAUGGAGGAGCUGUUGUGCUCGUCCCGCAGUCGCACAGCACAUUGUUGUUCUGCAGCGCCAUGAUGCUUCAAACUACAAUGCCAGAUCAAGUGAAUUCUCUUCCCCAGACCUCCAGCACAUUGUUGGAGGUGUAUCUACAGUCCAGUAACUUGCCAUCAUCAAGCAUGUGUGGAAAUGUGUGUGAAUGGGAAUUACUGAUUUCAUUGCAAAGUGUCUUUGAGUGUCCUAAUAAAUCGCUAUCUAAGUCUGA